rnacentral:rRNA from 1 species
UACGACUACAUAUCAGGCAUAUCAAUAAGCGGAGGAAAAGAAACUAACUAGGAUUCCCUCAGUAACGGCGAGUGAAGCGGGAAGAGCUCAAAUUUGAAAUCUUCAAGGUUCUACCUUGACGAAUUGUAGUUUAAAGAAGUGUUUUCUGUUGGAGUUUUGGUAAAAGUUCUUUGGAAUAGGACAUCAUAGAGGGUGAGAAUCCCGUAUUUGACCAUUAUUUCAGCUGUGAGAUACACUUUCAAAGAGUCGGAUUGUUUGGGAAUGCAGUCCAAAAUGGGUGGUAAAUUUCAUCUAAAGCUAAAUAUUGGCGAGAGACCGAUAGCGAACAAGUACCGUGAGGGAAAGAUGAAAAGAACUUUGAAAAGAGAGUUAAACAGUACGUGAAAUUGUCAAAAGGGAAGCGUUUGACACCAGUGUUGUUUUCUCGAAAAUCAAUUAAAAAAGGUGGAUUUUGUGUUGUAUUGACCUUAUCAGCUUUCUGCACUCUUUUCCAGCUUUCUUUAAUGCACUUUUCGUUUAACAAGUCAACAUCAAUUUCUUUUGUUGUAAAAGGGUCAUUGGAAGGUGGCUUUCUCUUCGGAGAAAGUGUUUAUAGCCUUUGAUCUCUGCAAUCGGAGAGACUGAGGUCUGCAGCGUAGAUCCUUCGGGGUUAGAUACAUUUGUGCUAAGUUAUAGCCUUUCAUAGACAACUUGUUGACUAUGAUCAGUCAUGUAGCUUACUCGCUUAUGCUAUUUUACCUACGCUUAGGAUGUUGAGCGCAUGUCUCUCUCU